AUUGAACGCUGGCGGCAUGCCUUACACAUGCAAGUCGAACGGCAGCACGGGUGCUUGCACCUGGUGGCGAGUGGCGAACGGGUGAGUAAUACAUCGGAACAUGUCCUGUAGUGGGGGAUAGCCCGGCGAAAGCCGGAUUAAUACCGCAUACGAUCCACGGAUGAAAGCGGGGGACCUUCGGGCCUCGCGCUAUAGGGUUGGCCGAUGGCUGAUUAGCUAGUUGGUGGGGUAAAGGCCUACCAAGGCGACGAUCAGUAGCUGGUCUGAGAGGACGACCAGCCACACUGGGACUGAGACACGGCCCAGACUCCUACGGGAGGCAGCAGUGGGGAAUGUUGGACAAUGGGCGAAAGCCUGAUCCAGCAAUGCCGCGUGUGUGAAGAAGGCCUUCGGGUUGUAAAGCACUUUUGUCCGGAAAGAAAUCCUUGGCUCUAAUACAGUCGGGGGAUGACGGUACCGGAAGAAUAAGCACCGGCUAACUACGUG
rnacentral:rRNA from 1 species